rfam:Novosphingobium malaysiense strain MTSC 273 Contig3, whole genome shotgun sequence.
UCACUUCACAUUCAGGCUCGAUCGCCUAUAUGGGACAGUGCCGGUUCGCCGGCUAUGACGAUAAAUUGCGACGUGCAAUAGACGCAGCGGACCCGGGGGCGGUACCCGGCGGCUCCACCAUCACCCGUUCCGUAUGGAACGCCCUGUUGUCGCAGGGGUGAUGACGGGGCCGAACUAGGAUCGACGUGUGUUGAAAAGCGGCGUUUUCGUCCGGGCUGAGUAACCCGUUCAAGGCUCAAAACUCAUAAGUGCCAACGACAACGAAGCACUCGCUCUCGCUGCGUAAUUCUAGGGGCUAACGCCCUGAAGUUACAAAGCUAAAGCGCGGUUGGACCCACCGGGCAACAGAAGCGGAUUCCAGGGGCCCGGGGUGAGCCUGGCAACAGAAUCACCCCACU